UACGUAGGGGGCAAGCGUUGUCCGGAUUUAUUGGGCGUAAAGAGCGUGUAGGCGGUUUGGUAGGUCCGCUGUGAAAACUCGAGGCUCAACCUCGAGACGCCGGUGGAAACCAUCAGGCUAGAGUCCGGAAGAGGAGAGUGGAAUUCCCGGUGUAGCGGUGAAAUGCGCAGAUAUCGGGAGGAACACCUAUGGCGAAGGCAGCUCGCUGGGACGUUACUGACGCUGAGACGCGAAAGCGUGGGGAGCAAACAGG
rnacentral:rRNA from 1 species